UACGGGGGGGGCAAGCGUUGUUCGGAAUUACUGGGCGUAAAGGGCUGGUAGGCGGCCAACUAAGUCGGAUGUGAAAUCCCCAGGCUUAACCUGGGAACUGCAUCCGAUACUGGUCGGCUUGAAUCCGGGAGAGGGAAGCGGAAUUCCUGGUGUAGCGGUGAAAUGCGUAGAUACCAGGAGGAACACCGGUGGCGAAGGCGGUUCCUGGCCCAGUACGUGACGCUGAGGCACGAAAGCGUGGGGAGCG
rnacentral:rRNA from 1 species